UAUCAUGAUAUCGGUUUCAGAAAUAGAUAAAAGUGACGAACAUUUCUCCGGGUGUGUUCUUCGAAGGCUGAAUACUGAGCAGAUAGUUGUCUUCCACUGUGUUUUUCUCGUCUCCGGUGUGGACAGAAGGAAGUUUUGCUACACUUUGUGACGAAACAGAUCAGAAGUUUCUGGCAACACUUCAGCUUCUUCCAUGGAGACAAGCAUAAGAUCUAAUGACAGUGAUGAUGAUCCUGAUGAAGGCCACAAGCCAAAAUGUGUCGGUGGAGCAGUAAAGUUUUAUAAAUCAUUCAAAUGUUCCUCGAGCUCCAACUUUCUGUUUGCUUAUUGUUUCAGGACUCUGUGUGUUGAUUUCACUGGCAGCUUAUUUAUUAAUAAGUAAUUAUUAAUAUUAUUAUUGAAAACAACUCCAAAUAUAACAAAGAGGUAAGUUUAGUUUUAUAAAAGAGAGAGAGAGCAGUCUCCCUGUAAGGUGAAUAUCUACAAAUAUACAAACACAUUAAAUUUGCAUCUGAACAUGACAGUCAGCAAUGCAGCCUGAUUUAAAAACAUUAAUAUGAAAAUAAAAGAAUGAAUGAGUGACUGCCUGUCUGAACUUUUAAUGUCACUCUUUCCUUACUUGUUUAAAAUGUCUGAAUGAUCAGUCAUUACUGCUUUUCUUGAAACCUCAACACAGAAAAAGAAUAAAAACUAAAUGAUGUGAAAU